GAUGAAAGAGGGGGGCGUGCCUAAUACAUGCAAGUCGAGCGAACGGACGAGAAGCUUGCUUCUCUGAUGUUAGCGGCGGACGGGUGAGUAACACGUGGAUAACCUACCUAUAAGACUGGGAUAACUUCGGGAAACCGUAGCUAAUACCGGAUAAUAUUUUGAACCGCAUGGUUCAAAAGUGAAAGACGGUCUUGCUGUCACUUAUAGAUGGAUCCGCGCUGCAUUAGCUAGUUGGUAAGGUAACGGCUUACCAAGGCAACGAUGCAUAGCCGACCUGAGAGGGUGGUCGGCCACACUGGAACUGAGACACGGUCCAGACUCCUAAGGGAGGCAGCAGUAGGGAAUCUUCCGCAAUGGGCGAAAGCCUGACGGAGCAACGCCGCGUGAGUGAUGAAGGUCUUCGGAUCGUAAAACUCUGUUAUUAGGGAAGAACAUAUGUGUAAGUAACUGUGCACAUCUUGACGGUACCUAAUCAGAAAGCCACGGCUAACUACGUG
rnacentral:rRNA from 1 species